GGAGGAGGAAAUCACAGCUGCUGCAGAUGCCUGGGCCCGCGGUGCUGCAGCACUGCCCAAGCCCUGGCAGCCUCAGAAACCUGUGCUGCCUGUGGAGGGCAUGAGGAAUGUCCUGAUCACCAGCGCUCUGCCCUACGUGAACAACGUGCCCCACCUCGGCAACAUCAUUGGCUGCGUCCUCAGUGCCGACACCUUUGCCAGGUACUGCCGCCUGCGGAACUGGAACACGCUAUAUGUGUGUGGCACGGACGAGUAAGGCACAGCCACUGAGACCAAGGCUGUGGAAGAGGGGCUCACGCCCCAGGAGAUCUGCAACAAGUACAACGCCAUCCAUGCUGACAUCUACCGCUGGUUUGACAUCUCGUUCGACUACUUUGGCCGCACCACCACGCCGUACCAG